rnacentral:rRNA from 1 species
GGAAGUAAAAGUCGUAACAAGGUUUCCGUAGGUGAACCUGCGGAAGGAUCAUUACCGAGUUGAUUCGGGCUCCGGCCCGAUCCUCCCACCCUUUGUGUACCUACCUCUGUUGCUUUGGCGGGCCGCGGUCCUCCGCGGCCGCCCCCCUCCCCGGGGGGGUGGCCAGCGCCCGCCAGAGGACCAUCAAACUCCAGUCAGUAAACGAUGCAGUCUGAAAAACAUUUAAUAAACUAAAACUUUCAACAACGGAUCUCUUGGUUCUGGCAUCGAUGAAGAACGCAGCGAAAUGCGAUAAGUAAUGUGAAUUGCAGAAUUCAGUGAAUCAUCGAAUCUUUGAACGCACAUUGCGCCCUUUGGUAUUCCGAAGGGCAUGCCUGUUCGAGCGUCAUUACAACCCUCAAGCUCUGCUUGGUAUUGGGCACCGUCCUUUGCGGGCGCGCCUCAAAGACCUCGGCGGUGGCGUCUUGCCUCAAGCGUAGUAGAACAUACAUCUCGCUUCGGAGCGCAGGGCGUCGCCCGCCGGACGAACCUUCUGAACUUUUCUCAAGGUUGACCUCGGAUCAGGUAGGGAUACCCGCUGAACUUAAGCAUAUCAAUAAGCGGAGGA